rnacentral:rRNA from 1 species
CCUACGGGUGGCUGCAGUGAGGAAUAUUGGUCAAUGGACGAAAGUCUGAACCAGCCAUGCCGCGUGCAGGAUGACGGCUCUAUGAGUUGUAAACUGCUUUUGUAUUGGGGUAAACACCACUACGUGUAGGGGCUUGAAAGUAUAAUACGAAUAAGGAUCGGCUAACUCCGUGCCAGCAGCCGCGGUAAUACGGAGGAUCCAAGCGUUAUCCGGAUUUAUUGGGUUUAAAGGGUGCGUAGGCGGGUUGAUAAGUUAGUGGUGAAAUACCGGUGCUCAACAGCGGAAUUGCCUUUAAUACUGGUGUACUAGAGAGCAGUAGAGGUAGGCGGAAUGCAUGGUGUAGCGGUGAAAUGCUUAGAGAUCACACAGAACACCGAUUGCGAAGGCAGCUUACCAAACUAUAGCUGACGUUGAGGCACGAAAGCGUGGGUAGCAAACAGGAUUAGAUACCCUUGUAGUC